UGGGGAAUUUUGGACAAUGGGCGCAAGCCUGAUCCAGCAAUGCCGCGUGCAGGAUGAAGGCCUUCGGGUUGUAAACUGCUUUUGUACGGAGCGAAAAGGUCUGCCCUAAUACGGUGGGCUCAUGACGGUACCGUAAGAAUAAGCACCGGCUAACUACGUGCCAGCAGCCGCGGUAAUACGUAGGGUGCAAGCGUUAAUCGGAAUUACUGGGCGUAAAGCGUGCGCAGGCGGUUAUGCAAGACAGAGGUGAAAUCCCCGGGCUCAACCUGGGACCUGCAUUUGUGACUGUAUAGUUAGAGUACGGUAGAGGGGGAUGGAAUUCCGCGUGUAGCAGUGAAAUGCGUAGAUAUGCGGAGGAACACCGAUGGCGAAGGCAGUCCCCUGGACUUGUACUGACGCUCAUGCACGAAAGCGUGGGGAGCAAACA
rnacentral:rRNA from 1 species